rnacentral:rRNA from 1 species
GGGGGUACGUUGCUCGGCAUAUUGGGCGUAAGGGCUCGCAGGCGGUUUCUUAAGUCUGAUGUGAAAGCCCCCGGCCCUUUGGGGAGGGUCAUUGGAAACUGGGGAACUUGAGUGCAGAAUAGGAGAGUGGAAUUCCACGUGUAGCGGUGAAAUGCGUAGAGAUGUGGAGGAACACCAGUGGCGAAGGCGACUCUCUGGUCUGUAACUGACGCUGAGGAGCGAAAGCGUGGGGAGCGAACAGGAUUAGAUACCCUGGUAGUCCACGCCGUAAACGAUGAGUGCUAAGUGUUAGGGGGUUUCCGCCCCUUAGUGCUGCAGCUAACGCAUUAAGCACUCCGCCUGGGGAGUACGGUCGCAAGACUGAAACUCAAAGGAAUUGACGGGGGCCCGCACAAGCGGUGGAGCAUGUGGUUUAAUUCGAAGCAACGCGAAGAACCUUACCAGGUCUUGACAUCCUCUGACAAUCCUAGAGAUAGGACGUCCCCUUCGGGGGCAGAGUGACAGGUGGUGCAUGGUUGUCGUCAGCUCGUGUCGUGAGAUGUUGGGUUAAGUCCCGCAACGAGCGCAACCCUUGAUCUUAGUUGCCAGCAUUCAGUUGGGCACUCUAAGGUGACUGCCGGUGACAAACCGGAGGAAGGUGGGGAUGACGUCAAAUCAUCAUGCCCCUUAUGACCUGGGCUACACACGUGCUACAAUGGACAGAACAAAGGGCAGCGAAACCGCGAGGUUAAGCCAAUCCCACAAAUCUGUUCUCAGUUCGGAUCGCAGUCUGCAACUCGACUGCGUGAAGCUGGAAUCGCUAGUAAUCGCGGAUCAGCAUGCCCGGGUGAAAUACGUUCCCCGGGCCUUGUACACACCGCCCGUCACACCACGAGAGUUUGUAACACCCGAAGUCGGUGAGGUAACCUUUUAGGAGCCAGCCGCCGAAGGUGGGACAGAUGAUUGGGGUGAAUCUACAAGGGGAACCCCCAUAUAUAAAAACGGGG